rnacentral:tRNA from 1 species
AGUAGGAUAAGCUAUUCAAGCUAGCGGGUUCAUACCCCGAAAAAGAGGCACCCUCUCCUACUA